rnacentral:lncRNA from 12 species
AAAGCAAAUUGAGAGUUUUUUUUUACUAAUCUUUACCUGCAGUUGCCCAGAGGGGGGCGCCCUUCGCAAGGUGUACGGCGGCGCCGCAGUGAGCCUUGCCGAACUCUGGGUGGGUUUUUUUUUUGUGUUUUUUUUGCCCAAAUUCGGGCUUUUUUCACCCAGAUCUGGGGGGAUUUGGCGCUGGCACCCACCGGAUGUGGCGCUGGCGGAUCAGCACGCGGGCGUGGUGGAUGGACUUGGCCAGGCCCAGCUUGAAGACCUGGGUCUGCAGGCGGCGCUCCAGGAAAUCCUCGAUCUUCAGCCCCAGGAUGUAAUCCAGCUUCAUCUUGCCCUCGUCCAGCACCCCGAUGCGCACCAGGCGGCGCAGCAGGGCGUUACCUGGGAGAAAGAGAAAGUUUGGGGGAGGAAAUGAGAAAAAACGGGGAAAAGGGGAAAAAAAAUAAGGAAAAAAGGGGGAAAAAUCGGAGGAAAAAUCGGGGGAAAACGGGGGAAAAAUUGGGGAAGGAAAAAAGGGGGAAAAUCGGAGGAAAAAUCGGGGGAAAACGGGGGAAAAAUCAAGGGAAAAACGGGGAAAAACGGGGGAAAAACGGGGGAAAAAAUGCUAAAAGAAAAGGUGGGAAAACACAAAAAAAGCCCAAAAGAGAGGGUGUUACCUGGGGAGAAAUAGAAAGUUUGGGUGAGGAAAUGAGAAAAAACAGGGAAAAGAGGAAAAAAAAAAAGGAAAAAAGGGGAGAAAUCGGAGG